AUUGAACGCUGGCGGCAUGCCUUACACAUGCAAGUCGAACGGCAGCACGGGUGUUGGCCCUGGGUUGCGAGGGGCAAACGGGUGAGUAGUACAUGGGUACACGUGGUAGAGGGGGGGAUAGCCCGGCGAAAGCCGGAUUUAUAGCGCAUACGAUCUACGGGUGAAAGCGGGGGCCCUGGACGCCUCGCUCUCAGAGGUGGCCCGGGGGCUGAUUAGCUAGUUGGUGGGGUAAAGGCCUACCAAGGCGACGAUCAGUAGCUGGUCUGAGAGGACGAACAGCCACACUGGGACUGAGACACGGUCCAGACUCCUACGGGAGGCAGCAGUGGGGAAUUUUGGACAAUGGGCGAAAGCCUGAUCCAGCCAUGCCGCGUGUGUGAAGAAGGCCUUCGGGUUGUAAAGCACUUUUGUUUGGAAAGAAAUCCUUGGAUUUAAUACCGUCGGGGGAUGACGGUACCGGCAGAAUAAGCACCGGCUAACUUCGUG
rnacentral:rRNA from 1 species